GAACUCGGUCGCACCGCAACCACCGUGGACGACGGAAUGGCUCGCUCAAUCUGUGAUUUCUGGUAUUCCUCCACCCUCCAAUCUUCCGAUUUCCUGGAUUUUUCCCCGCAUUUACAAGAAAAAUGGAUUGGUUUCACAGCUCACUGACUCAAUCCCCUUUCUCUCUCAAUCGAUCCCCAAAAUCUAAUAGUGGUACGUCUCUCUCUCUCAGUCGAACGGGGGCUGUUUCAAUAGUGAUAUAGUGUAUGGUUGUAUGCGAUUUGGCCUCCCCUUGUUUCCAUCCCCUCUCACGUUGGUGACAUAGCCGUCUCCUCUCACGUUGGUGACAGCAGCGGCGUCUCUCGACAGCUGUCUAGGAGUUUGUUCCCGUCGGUAAACCACUGCUCUUCGCGGCUGAGUUUUGACGAGUUGCUCCUCAAAGUCAUCGAGUCGGAGAUCAAGUGCGCCGAAGAGUCUGACGACCAGGAUGAGGUUAGAGAGAGGGGUUUGUUGGGGGAUUUGAUGAUGUGGAGUUCAAUCGCAAAUUUAAAAGAAAACCUCCACAAAAUCACGCUCGAUGUCCACGACGAUGAUGGUGAUGAAGGGCUCGAGAUCUACAAUUCGCCAGAUUGAAAAGGUCAUCUCCACACUGACUGCCAAUUCCCUUACUGUUUCACGCAUUCAAGUCCAGCUUUGCAUUCUCCCAUGGCCAAUGGAUUCGAUUCCCCGUACAGCGAUGAGUUAUUUAGGGAUACAGCUUUGGUUUUUGUAGAAUUGUGUGAAUUUGGAAUAGAACUCCCUAUGCAAGUGAAAAAGAGCGAGCUAUGUGAACUCCCUACGCAAUGUCCACAUUGUAAGUGUCAAUUGGGAAACUCUUUCCAUGGUGAAUCAAUCAAUGGCAAUUGUGCCAAUGCCAGCUGUAGGUGCUCCAGGUGGUGUCCCUGGUCCCACCACAAGCUUAAAUAUUGGUAUGGACUACUGGGGUACUGCAACUCCUCCUACCCCCCCUGCACUGCAUGGAAAGGCAUCUCCUGCUCCAGUUGCAGGGGGGAUGGUCACUGCUGGAUCUCGUGACAGCCUUCAAUCACAGCUGUGGCUACAGGAUGAAAGAGAGCUUAAAAAACAGAGAAGGAAGCAGUCCAACAGAGAAUCUGCUCGUCGAUCCAGGUUACAUCCAGGUUACGAAAGCAGAUAAUGACAAUCUAUUCCUUUUUGUGUAUGAUAUUUGCUACUUUCAUCCUUGACUCCAUGAUCCUAUGGUGUUCAUAUACUUCUGAGUCAGGCGGAAUGUGACGAGUUAGCUCAGCGUACUGAAGCUUGGAAUGAAGAAAAUGCCUCACUUGGGUCAGAAUUGAGUCGCAUCAGGAAUGAGUAUGAGCAGCUCCUCGCACAGAAUGCUUCUCUGAAGGAGAGACUUGAGGAAGAAGUUUCUGGGCAAGAAGAUGACUAGAAUGUUGGGAACGACAUGCAACAGACUGGGUAAACAUAACUUAAGCAGAGUGGUCAAUGAGGAUCCUGCUGCUGCACUGCGGAGUAAUUUGUAGGGAAUUAUGCUAACCAAAUUAGUAACAGCAUGACCAUAAUUUACAUAGUUAAUGUAGUUUAAGAUACGUAAAACCCUGACCUUUUUAGUCUCAGGAUCUACUCAUCUAAUUGUAUCAAAUCUCCUAGGGCCGGCCAUUGUUUAAGGUCGGAAGCCCUAUGUAGCAUGUCGAGUCUGAAAUCUGUCAUUUGUCUUAGGAUAUCAUGUAUUAGGUUAGGGUUGAUGAUUACGUGUACACCGGGAGAGUCAAUAAACCUUGAAUUUGUUAUACUUCGUGUGAAUUUAUUUUUCUCCAUGUACGGUUAUGUGUGUUGCUCGUUGGUGAUCAUGGCAUAUUGAGUUUUGCAGUUCCAAAUGUCUUUCUUC